UUCCGGAGUCAUUCGCGCUAGGUCACGUUCGGUCCAAUCUGCUGGGUCUUUUAUUUGUCCAUUUCUGGUGUGAACUCCGCUCCGCCCGCCUUGCUGUUAGACGUACCAUACGAACAUGGCUCGCAGAAACCAAUGACAUGUGAAAACAGUAGAGGUGACUGUUCAUCACAUAUCAUACAUUGAGCGUCUUUGUCCCGGCCAGUAGAAAUCUUUCCACGAACAUCUUGGGCACUUCAUUGAGUAUACAAUGUGACCAGUCUCUUCUCCACAAUGGUUACAAGCUAGUUUCUCGGGCUCACCAUCAUCCUCAUUAUCAUCAUCCUCAUUAUCAUCGUAUUCGUUUUCAUUGUCACUCUUGUCAGAUUCCCUGUUCUCUUCACCAGAUUCGCUUUCAACAUCACUCUCAGAUUGUGGCAUUUCAUGUUCCUCUUUUUGCAAUUUUUGACAAUAAAUACUCAUUUUUUAUUAAAUCUUUAUUAACCCCUGCUUCUACUAGACCUUUUGUAAACAGGUCGAACCCUCGUGGUUCAGGAAUGUGAGAGUUGUAUGGUAAAAGUGCGUAUUGUAAAAAGUUCUCGAUGUUAAUACCAGGAAUGUCUCUUCCAUGAUAAACAAUCUCACCCUGAGGAUUCCAAGUUAAAAUAUCACUUGAUAUAAGAAUAGAAUGUAGCAUUUUUUCUGCUGUAGUUUUUUGACAUUAUUGUUCAGAUACAAAAAUAUAUCUUCAAUGCGCCAAUGUCGCGGAGAUGUUUUACUCUCGAUUUUCAUUGUUGAAAUUAUGUAUAAUUUGUAGUCACAGGGCUUUUAUACAAGUUCAGCCAGGCUUUCCAAAAUAGGACUUAGUAAUAGUCCAAGGAAACCUUCACCAUGUUGAACGAGUGUCCGUUUUUUUCUUCUUCCAACCUAAGCAUUUCAUGUUUGUAAGGUCGGAGUUUCUUCCUUACAUGCUUCGGCAUUAAAUAUUUUCUUUUCACAACGUUUUCUACACAGAGACACAGGCAGUGUACUUACUCGGCGGUUGCUGUUUCCAGUGGUGCUUGUUGUUGAUCAGGCUCAAACGUGCCCAACAAUUCAAGAAAUGGCUUGUGCCUUAGAAGAUUGAUCAUUUCUGUUCGACGGUUUGGAAGCAAAUGAGUAAAACACAACAAUAAGGAAGCUUAUAUCGGAAGAGAGAAAGCAAUUUAGACAAGGCUCCGAGCUAUUGAGAGCUCGACUCUGAGCUUAUCGAACUUGGCUCCUUGUGCAUGUCAGAUAAGGAAGAUAAGAGGAUAAAUAUAAGGAAGAUAAAGAUAAGAGGAUAAAUAUAAGGAAGAUAAGGAUAAGGAAGAUAAGAAGAUAAAGAUAAGAAGAUAAGGAUAAAGAAGAUAAAGAAAAGGAUAAAGAUAAGAAGAUAAAGAUAAGGAUAAAGAUAAGAAGAUAAAGAUAAAGAUAAGGAAGUUAAGCAUAAGGAACAUGAAGAUUAAGAUAAGGAUAAAGAUAAGAAGAUAAGAAGAUAAAGAUAAGGAUAACGAUAAGAAGAUAAGGAAGAUAAAGAUAAGGAACAUAAAGAUUAAGAUAAGGAUAAAGAUAAGGAAGAUAAAGAUAAGGAUAAAGAUAAGGAUAAAGAUAAGAGGAUAAAGAUAAAGAUAAGGAAGAUAAAGAUAAGGAUAAAGAAGAUUAAGAUAAGGAAGAUAAAGAUAAGGAUAAAGAUAAGGAAGAUAAAGAUAAGGAUAAAGAAGAUAAAGAUAAGAAGAUAAGGAUAAAGAUAAGGAUAAGAAGAUAAAGAUAAAGAAUAUAAGGAAGAUAAAGAUAAGGAUAAAGAUAAGGAAGAAAAAGAUACAGAAUAAUACUGGAUAGAUGCAUUAAUGAAUAUAUAGAACGAAUACGCCAACUUAUUAUCACUUGCAGCUAGACGUUCGUGGUGUGAACAUGUCCUUUCCGUGCAAUAUAUGUGCCAAAGUAUUUUCAACACGCGACAACCUCAAGCGUCAUACUUUGAAUACCCAUGGAGAUGUUCAAAGCAAACCAGUUGAAAUCUCGGCAGGAUCUACAGUUUUGCAGCAUCUGUUUGAAAGUUGAUAUAUUUCUAAUAUUAUUACAUGAAGUAUUACAAUAACAAAUAAAUUUAAUUUAAACUAAUGUUGCGUAAUCUGUCACAGUCCCCGGGUUGAUCAUUAAACAUGAUCAAAUGACUAACUUAAACUAAAUAUGAACUGAUGAACAUUUUCCUAAUGUUUUUACGUUUGUUUUGACAGUUUUCGUACAAGUUCUCCUUGAACAGCUGCCUUUCUUUUUGGUCGAUUCUUCUCUACAACGGCAGUCUUAACAUCAGUGUCUAAUGGUUAUGCACUGAGAUCUUGUGUUCCGGAUGAUUCUUCAUUCACAUCAACUAGUUCUUCUUUAUCCUUGUUACCGAAUUUCGAGUGAAUUUCCAAUGGGA